rnacentral:rRNA from 1 species
CCCUUAGAUGUUCUGGGCCGCACGCGCGCUACACUGAUGCGUUCAACGAGUAUACAACCUUGAUCGAUAGGUCUGGGUAAUCUUGUGAAUGCGCAUCGUGCUAGGGAUAGAUUGUUGCAAUUUUCAAUCUUGAACGAGGAAUUCCUAGUAAACGCAAGUCAUCAGCUUGCAUUGAUUACGUCCCUGCCCUUUGUACACACCGCCCGUCGCUCCUACCGAUUGAAUGCUCAGGUGAGCCAUUCGGACUUUCAUCAUGCUGGUUUCCAGUUUUGAUGAAGGAAAGUCUUGCGAACCUUAUCAUUUAGAGGAAGGAGAAGUCGUAACA